GCGGCGUACUAUACAUGCAAGUCGAACGCUUCUUUUUCCACCGGAGCUUGCUCCACCGGAAAAAGAGGAGUGGCGAACGGGUGAGUAACACGUGGGUAACCUGCCCAUCAGAAGGGGAUAACACUUGGAAACAGGUGCUAAUACCGUAUAACAAUCAAAACCGCAUGGUUUUGAUUUGAAAGGCGCUUUCGGGUGUCGCUGAUGGAUGGACCCGCGGUGCAUUAGCUAGUUGGUGAGGUAACGGCUCACCAAGGCCACGAUGCAUAGCCGACCUGAGAGGGUGAUCGGCCACAUUGGGACUGAGACACGGCCCAAACUCCUACGGGAGGCAGCAGUAGGGAAUCUUCGGCAAUGGACGAAAGUCUGACCGAGCAACGCCGCGUGAGUGAAGAAGGUUUUCGGAUCGUAAAACUCUGUUGUUAGAGAAGAACAAGGAUGAGAGUAACUGUUCAUCCCUUGACGGUAUCUAACCAGAAAGCCACGGCUAACUACGUGCCAGCAGCCGCGGUAAUACGUAGGUGGCAAGCGUUGUCCGGAUUUAUUGGGCGUAAAGCGAGCGCAGGCGGUUUCUUAAGUCUGAUGUGAAAGCCCCCGGCUCAACCGGGGAGGGUCAUUGGAAACUGGGAGACUUGAGUGCAGAAGAGGAGAGUGGAAUUCCAUGUGUAGCGGUGAAAUGCGUAGAUAUAUGGAGGAACACCAGUGGCGAAGGCGGCUCUCUGGUCUGUAACUGACGCUGAGGCUCGAAAGCGUGGGGAGCAAACAGGAUUAGAUACCCUGGUAGUCCACGCCGUAAACGAUGAGUGCUAAGUGUUGGAGGGUUUCCGCCCUUCAGUGCUGCAGCUAACGCAUUAAGCACUCCGCCUGGGGAGUACGACCGCAAGGUUGAAACUCAAAGGAAUUGACGGGGGCCCGCACAAGCGGUGGAACAUGUGGUUUAAUUCGAAGCAACGCGAAGAACCUUACCAGGUCUUGACAUCCUUUGACCACUCUAGAGAUAGAGCUUCCCCUUCGGGGGCAAAGUGACAGGUGGUGCAUGGUUGUCGUCAGCUCGUGUCGUGAGAUGUUGGGUUAAGUCCCGCAACGAGCGCAACCCUUAUUGUUAGUUGCCAUCAUUCAGUUGGGCACUCUAACAAGACUGCCGGUGACAAACCGGAAGAAAAGUGGGGGAUAACAUCCAAAUCUCCAGGCCCCUUAUAGACCUGGGGUACAACACUGCUUCAAUUGGGAAAUACAACAAAUUUGCGAAAUUCCCGAGGGUAAACUAAAUUCUUAAAAGCUUCU
rnacentral:rRNA from 1 species